rnacentral:rRNA from 1 species
UAGCGUCGGGGGGAAGAAGUUCCGGUGGUAGUAGCGCCCCAGCGGUGUCCAACACCAUCGCCAUCGGCUCAGGACUGGUCGGCCGCUGUCCCGCAGGGUGGGACGCCACAACGCCCCACACACACGGGCCUCGUUAAGGGGUGGCCUGGGGCCCGGCUGCACCGCGCCGACCUAGCACGUCUUCAUUCGAAGGGAAAGCGGUUAGGUGUAGGGGGUUCAGGAGAGGAGUGAAGAGGGAGGGAGGGAGGUUAUUAAGAGAAGAGAGGAGAGGCGGAGGCGUGGUGGUAGUCUCCUUUCGGUCGCCCUUCCCCCCUUUAGGGGUACGGGGGUGGGGAGCGGCCUGGUCUAGGGGCCGCCCGGCCGCGCCUCGGAAUCCGCCCCUGGCCGGACUGGCUACCCGCCCCUCCGGGGCCUCGGCGCCGCCGAGUCGGCGCGCGAAUCGAACCUGCCGUCGCCGCAGGGCCUCCUCCGCGACGUGGACCACGAGCCGAUGCAGCUGCUGGGCGCGCUGGCGCUCCGCCGGAGCGACCGCACGGCGGCGACCGUGGUGUAGCUGCGCGAGUGCGCCUUCGUGCAGUGGCACGGGAAGACGAUGCGGCACAGGGGCCGCGCGGACGAGCGCGCGAAGGGCGCGGAGCUCAGCGAGCCCCAGUUCCCGUUCGGGGCGCGGCGGUACAUGCCGGAGUAGGGGCUGCUGACCCCGCGGAUGCGAGCCGGGACCCACCGGCUCGAGCGGCGGGGCGAGCUCACGGAGUUCCGCGAGGUGGACGCCGCGUACCAGCAGUGGCUGCUGCUGGAGCGGCGGGAGCAGGCGCGGGCGCCGGUGUACGACGUCCUCGAGUUCGAGCUGUUCACGAGGCCUAAGAGGUGGCUGCGGGAGGCGGAGCAGCGGGCGAGGACGUCUAGUGACUCUUGAAACAAAGACCUUCUCACAUGUUAAUGACUAUUACCGUGACAUACCGAGGUACUGGAACGACGGUUGUUAGGACAAGACCACUGGAACUUGAAGAUGAACUGAAUGGAGUCUCACCUCGGUCGACUGGAGCUCGAAGAGCGGUCCUUAACGUUCAGUGAUUAAAGUAACUUCUAAUCGCUGACGCUGGAAAGUCUAAAUUAACCUAAAAAGGUUUAUCGAUGUAGUAACGUUCUUAAACGACCUCGUCUUUAGUCACUCGUUUACAUACCUUUACAAUUCGAAGGAAGUUUCGAAACGAGGAAGCCUGAAUGGAAGUACCCCUGUUUACUCUACGUGUAUUAGAAAGGAAAAAGACGACAUGAGUUCUUCGACCUAAACGUCAUGUCAAAGGAGUGGUGACUUCUAGUAACGGUCGAGUAACGUUUUACAGGCUUGAAUGAUCAAGAACGCCAUUCCUUACACUAACCCCUAUCUCCUGACCCCCAACAGCCACUGUGUACGUUCUUCGAUGUUUCCGAGUCUCAACUCGCUCCCCUUCUACUAGGACCAUACGUUCUUCUCCUUCCGCCUUAAAGAGUUCAUCCGGAUUGUCGAUAUCGGCAUCCAACGGCACUUGACCUUUUAUAUCGACGGAUACACAGACUAUAGUGUUUACCCCGGGACCUUAGGUAGCCUUGCAAGACGUUUUUAGAGGUACUGAAAGCGGAACAGGACGAACUGUCUGUUCUCUGCUAUUGUCUAAACGGCGACCUGUUACCACGGGCGCGCGACGACUCCCCGACGUGGUUCGAAGCCUCCAAGCGAGAUAUGGACUCUGGUCCCCCCGAAAGUCUACAUCCGGAGCCGAUGUAACCUGUCGUGUCACCUUGGUAGGUCAUGUACGAAGACCCAUUGCAACCCGUUUGCCUACCACCUAACUAGUCAAAGCGUCGGCCCACGGCCUUGGACGCCUUCGAACUUGACUCCUCGACAACGAAGUCGCUCGCCCGAGACCGCGAGCGGUAUGCCGUUUACGGAAGGGACUCCAUACACACCCACGUCCCGAUGUCCCGGAGAGUCUGGCCGGCACUGGAGUACGAGUACCGCGCCGGGAAGACCUUGUAGCUCAAAUGCGGAGGGUCGUGCCUCUGGCGCCCGGCCGACUACCUUCUACCCCUCGGGACGCAACUAUCCGUUCGAGUCCACGACCGUAUGAUGAGGGAAAGACCCUUCUCCAGGCUGAUGGGCGUCAGACAACAAGGAGACAUAGGACGCACUGACAUUUAUGUAAUUCGGCCAUACCACAGAGAGACCCUGCCGGGGACCGACCGGGAGACGCGAAGAGCCCGUUAUUCCUACAAACAUACACCCAUAACAUACCUAGACCAUCUAAAAGAUCGACGACACAUGACCUUAUUCGCGUAACCAUAAAAACGGACCAUGAGGAUAGAUUAGAAUCCUUCUACAUAUGAUUUCAUUGUAACACGCUCACUUGACACUGUGAUAACGCGAACGAAGCGUCCGUAUUCGAACAGACCAAAGGCGCCGGACGGGUUCUAAAAGAGACAACAUGUACAUCUACGUACGACGUAUUAGACAUCAUUUUUGGAGAACCACUCAACGAACGACGUAUUAGACAGUACGGUGUUUGCCGUUUCUACUUUCUUGAAGACCUUUGUUCUUGGUAC